rnacentral:ncRNA from 1 species
CGGGAGCGGGGGGUCCCACCAGCGCGGUGUCCAGUCACGGUCGCCACCACGUCGCGCUUGAGCCAAUGGCGAGACCGACCUCGGCCGGA